GAAAGUAAUUAAGGGCGCAUGGCGGAUGCCUUGGCUCUCAGAGGCGAUGAAGGACGUGAUAAGCUGCGAUAAGCUUCGGGUAGGUGCAAAUAACCUUUUAUCCGGAGAUUUCCGAAUGGGGCAACCCAGCAUACUGAAGGUAUGUUAUCCUUUUAUAGGAAGCAAACGGGGUGAACUGAAACAUCUUAGUAACCCUAGGAGAAGAAAACAAUAGUGAUUCCCUAAGUAGUGGCGAGCGAACAGGGACUAGCCCAAACCAGUUUUGUUACGGCAAAAUUGGGGUUGUAGGACUACGUUGUGAUAGUUUAAAAUAUAGCAGAAGGUGUCUGGAAAGCACCACCAUAGAAGGUGAAAGUCCUGUAAGCGAAAUAUUGAUGACAUCUAGUAGUAUCCUGAGUAGUGCGAGACCGGAGAAAUCUUGUAUGAAUCUAGCGGCACCAUCCGCUAAGGCUAAAUACUCCUGAGAGACCGAUAGUGAACAAGUACCGUGAGGGAAAGGUGAAAAGUACCCUGAACAAGGGAGUGAAAUAGAUCCUGAAACCAUGCGCUUACAAACGGUUGGAGUCCCAAUUUAUUGGGGUGACAGCGUGCCUUUUGCAUAAUGAGCCUACGAGUUACUCCUCACUGGCAAGAUUAAUUCUGAUUGAACGGAAGUAGUCGUAGCGAAAGCGAGUCUGAAUAGGGCGAACAUAGUCAGUGGGGGUAGACGCGAAACUUGGUGAUCUACCCAUGGUCAGGUUGAAGUUCCGGUAACACGGAAUGGAGGACCGAACCAGUUGAUGUUGAAAAAUCUUUGGAUGAACUGUGGGUAGGGGUGAAAGGCUAAUCAAACCAAGAGAUAGCUCGUACUCCCCGAAAUGUAUUUAGGUACAGCCUCGUGUAUAAGUGUUAUAGAGGUAGAGCUACUGAUUGGGCUAGGGGGCUUCACCGCCUACCAAACCCUGACAAACUCCGAAUGCUAUAACAUGUUUCACGGGAGUGAGGCGUUGGGUGCUAAGGUCCAGCGCCGAGAGGGAAAGAACCCGGACCAUCAGCUAAGGUCCCCAAAUGUAUGUUAAGUUGUACUAACGAGGUCUGAUUGCUUUGACAGCUAGGAUGUUGGCUUGGAAGCAGCCAUUCAUUUAAAGAGUGCGUAACAGCUCACUAGUCGAGCGAUCGGGCAUGGAUGAUAAUCGGGCAUAAACAUACUACCGAAGCUAUGGAUCUUGUAAUUUAUUAUGAGAUGGUAGGGGAGCAUUCCAGUUGUGUUGAAGCAGUAGCGGCAAGCUAUUGUGGAGUGACUGGAAAAGCAAAUGUAGGCAUAAGUAACGAUAAUGCAGGCGAGAAACCUGCACACCGAAAGACUAAGGUUUCCUGAUCAACGCUAAUCGGAUCAGGGUUAGUCGGGACCUAAGGCGAAGCCGAAAGGCGUAGUCGAUGGACAAUCGGUUAAUAUUCCGAUACUUGUUAUAAUUGUGAUGGGGUGACGAAGCAGUGACAAUCCCGCGUACUGACGGAAUAGUACGUUGAAGGCUGUAGGUAUAAGGAGCGAUUGGAAAAUCCGCGCACCUUGCUAAAGGCUGAUAGUACCGAGAGUCUACGGAUAAUCGGAUAGUGGAUGUAAUCAUACUUCCAAGAAAAACCUCUAAACUUCAGAUUAUAACAACCCGUACCAUAAACCGACACAGGUGGUCGAGGAGAGAAUCCUAAGGUGCUCGAGUGAUUCAUGGCUAAGGAACUAGGCAAACUAACCCCGUAACUUCGGGAGAAGGGGUGCCCCUGAGCAAUCGGGGGCCGCAGAGAAAUGGCCCAGGCGACUGUUUAUCAAAAACACAUGGCUUUGCAAAAUCGAAAGAUGAAGUAUAAGGCCUGACACCUGCCCGGUGCUGGAAGGUUAAGAGGAGAUGUUAGCUUCGGCGAAGCAUUGAAUUGAAGCCCCAGUAAACGGCGGCCGUAACUAUAACGGUCCUAAGGUAGCGAAAUUCCUUGUCGGGUAAGUUCC
rnacentral:rRNA from 1 species